ACGGCACGCCAGUGCGCAAAGGUAAGCGAGCGCUUCUCAGCACGCACGAUCACCGGAUCGUGCGGUAUUGAUGAGUGAUUGGUGAUCUAUCAGCAUGUCGCUGUACGCGUCUCAGAUUAAAGCGUUUAAGAGCGCGGAGCCCAAGACACUUGGCGCUAUUGAGAUCAUAAUUGGUGUGUUUACUGUCAUUCUGAGCACAAUUGUGUAUAAGCUGCACUACCAUAUCCAGCGUGAAAUCAUCAUCCUCAUCAUCAACGGUGCUCAGCUUGUCAUAACUGGUGUUGUCCUGGUGCACACUGGGAGGAAACCAUCUAAAUGUCUGGUGCUGACAACAUUUGUUCUGCAGUUACUAACAGCAGCAUUUGAUAUUGUUGGAUUUGGGCUGAUGGCCAGACACAUCCCAUUCAGAGGAGACUCGUACUACUACAGGGACACAGAGUGGUGUUGUGACCCACUUCACUCUCUUUCGGCUUGCUGUGGAGAUGGAGAGAAAGAGGCACAAAAAGAGGUGAGUCGCAUUACAAGCUUUACGAUGCAGUGGGAACACUACACACGCUGA
ensembl:lncRNA